CCCCAAUGUCACCCCAAUGUCCCCAAGGGUUAACAGGGACCCCAAUGUCACCCCAAUGUCCCCAAGGGGACCCCAAUGUCACCUCAGUGUCCCCAAGUUAGGGAUAAAGGGAGCCCAAUGUCACCCCAAUGUCCUCAAGGGUACCCCAAUGUCACCUCAGUGUCCCCAAGGGGUUAACAGGGACCCCAAGGUCACCCCAAUGUCCCCAAGUUAGGGAUAAAGGGACCCCAAUGUCACCCCAAUGUCCCCAAAGGGUGACAGGGACCCCAAUGUCACCCCAAUGUCUCCAGGGGGACCCCAAUGUCACCUCAGUGUUCCCAAGUUAGGGAUAAAGGGACCCCAAUGUCACCCCAAUGUCCCCAAGGGGAGGAACAGGGACCCCAAUAGGGUGUGCCCCCUGUCGGGGUGCUCAUUUUGGGGUCAGUACCCAUUUCGGGGUGCCCAUUUUUGGGGUCAGUGCCAGUUUUGGGGUCAGUGCCCCUUUUGGGGUCAGUACCCAUUUCGGGGUCAGUACACGGCCUCGUCGCCGUUGUCGUCGCUGUCGGGCCCGAAGCUCUCCCCGUUGUCGAAGUAGGAC
rnacentral:lncRNA from 1 species